CCCCUAGAUGUUCUGGGCUGCACACGUGCUACACUGGCAGGUUCAGCGAGCUUCAUGCCCUGAUCUGAAAGGAAUGGGAAAUCUUUUCAAAACCUGCCGUGCUUGGGAUAGAUGUUUGCAAUUAUUCAUCUUCAACGAGGAUUGCCUUGUAAGCGCACGCCAUCAGCGUGCAUUGAAUACGACCCUGUAUUCUGUACACACCGCCCGUCGCUCCUACCGAUUGAAGUUUUCGGUGAGUUGACAGGAGGAUUUUUUUGAAACUGGUUCGCCAGUGGAUUUUAGAUCCAAAUGCCAACGAAUCGAUGGCUUUAGAGGAAGGAGAAGUCGUAACA
rnacentral:rRNA from 1 species